AUGCCGCGUGUGUGAAGAAGGCCUUCGGGUUGUAAAGCACUUUCAGCGAGGAAGAACGCCUGUCGGUUAAUACCCGGUAGGAAAGACAUCACUCGCAGAAGAAGCACCGGCUAACUCCGUGCCAGCAGCCGCGGUAAUACGGAGGGUGCAAGCGUUAAUCGGAAUUACUGGGCGUAAAGCGCGCGUAGGUGGCUUGAUAAGCCGGUUGUGAAAGCCCCGGGCUCAACCUGGGAACGGCAUCCGGAACUGUCAGGCUAGAGUGCAGGAGAGGAAGGUAGAAUUCCCGGUGUAGCGGUGAAAUGCGUAGAGAUCGGGAGGAAUACCAGUGGCGAAGGCGGCCUUCUGGACUGACACUGACACUGAGGUGCGAAAGCGUGGGUAGCAAACAGGAUUAGAUACCCUGGUAGUCCACGCCGUAAACGAUGUCGACCAGCCGUUGGGUGCCUAGCGCACUUUGUGGCGAAGUUAACGCGAUAAGUCGACCGCCUGGGGAGUACGGCCGCAAGGUUAAAACUCAAAG
rnacentral:rRNA from 1 species